AGAGUUUGAUUAUGGCUCAGGAUGAACGCUAGCUACAGGCUUAACACAUGCAAGUCGAGGGGCAGCAUGGCAGUUUGCUUGCAAACUUCCGAUGGCGACCGGCGCACGGGUGAGUAACACGUAUCCAACCUGCCGAUAACUCGGGGAUAGCCUUUCGAAAGAAAGAUUAAUAUCCGAUAGCAUAUCAAGAUCGCAUGAUCUUGAUAUUAAAGAAUUUCGGUUAUCGAUGGGGAUGCGUUCCAUUAGUUAGUUGGCGGGGUAACGGCCCACCAAGACAACGAUGGAUAGGGGUUCUGAGAGGAAGGUCCCCCACAUUGGAACUGAGACACGGUCCAAACUCCUACGGGAGGCAGCAGUGAGGAAUAUUGGUCAAUGGACGAGAGUCUGAACCAGCCAAGUAGCGUGAAGGAUGACUGCCCUAUGGGUUGUAAACUUCUUUUAUAUGGGAAUAAAACAGGGUAUGCAUACCCUCUUGUAUGUACCAUAUGAAUAAGGAUCGGCUAACUCCGUGCCAGCAGCCGCGGUAAUACGGAGGAUCCGAGCGUUAUCCGGAUUUAUUGGGUUUAAAGGGAGCGU
rnacentral:rRNA from 1 species